rnacentral:lncRNA from 1 species
GGUGGAUGUCAGUUGAUGCUUGUUGUGCUUAACAGAGCCCUUGUUCCUUUUGGAGAGAUCAUAUGUCACUCACUUCAGACCAAGACUGCUGGUCAUGGAACAAAACACAAAGAGCCUUUUGUCUUUCCAUGUCUUAUUCAUACCCUAUGUUGUCUGAAGGGAGUUGAGCCGACCCCAGUGAUGUCUGGCAUGAGGCACCUGUUAUUUAUGACUUAGCCUAUAUUGCUCUAAGUGACUCUAAGUGACAAACUAUCCACUCCUCAACUAUCCAAAGCUUCG